rnacentral:misc_RNA from 1 species
GAUGAAGAACGCAGCGAAAUGCGAUACGUAGUGUGAAUUGCAGAAUUCAGUGAAUCAUCGAAUCUUUGAACGCACAUUGCACCUCUGGGUAUUCCGGGAGGUAUGCCUGUUCGAGCGUCAUUUGUACCCUCAAGCUCUGCUUGGUGUUGGGUGUUUGUUCCGCCUCUGUGUGUGAACUCGCCUCAAAACAAUUGGCAGCCGGCGUACUUGUUUCGGAGCGCAGCACAUUUUGCGAUCCAGAUCAACGUACAGCGGCAUCCAAGAAGCCUUAUUUAACGCUCUUGACCUCGGAUCAGGUAGGGAUACCCGCUGAACUUAAGCAUAUCAAUAAGCGGAGGA